UACGUAGGGAGCAAGCGUUGUUCGGAUUUACUGGGCGUAAAGGGCGCGUAGGCGGCAAAUUAAGUCAGCUGUGAAAUCUCCGAGCUUAACUCGGAACGGUCAGCUGAUACUGAUCUGCUAGAGUGCGGAAGGGGCAAUCGGAAUUCUUGGUGUAGCGGUGAAAUGCGUAGAUAUCAAGAGGAAAACCUGAGGUGAAGACGGGUUGCUGGGCCGACACUGACGCUGAGUGCGCGAAAGCCAGGGGAGCAAACGGG
rnacentral:rRNA from 1 species